AUAGAUUAUAAGGUGGUAAGUAUGGAGGUGAUCGGAAGGAAUGGAAAAUGAGAUGGGUAUUUUAAGAGGAGGAAGAAGAGAUGGAGAGUUGGGUGGAAGGUUUAAAGGAUAAGAAUGAAGAGUNNNNNNNNNNNNNNNNNNNNGAGAUGGAGAGUUGGGUGGAAGGUUUAAAGGAUAAGAAUGAAGAGUCGGUCCUCUUCUAGAGCUCCUCUUCUUCGCUCAGCUUCUCGCCCAUCUCAUCUCCUUCUGAGAUCAUCACCAGAUGGGAAGCUUUCGUUUUCUAAAUCUUCUACUCUCCAUGUCUGCUCCCAGGUCAAGAUGGAGAGAGAGAGAGAGGUGGCAGAAGAAGGACCAGACCGAAAUGGGGGAUGCCAUGUGGCUAUAAAAUUGAAGCCAGAGAGUAGGGGUUGGGGUGGUGGGGUUCAAGGGAAUUUAUUAGAUGGACUUGGUCCACUGGACCUGUCCAAAUCCAGGAUGAUAACCGGAUGAAUUUUGAUCUCAGUUUUGAUCUUGAAUUUCUUAAAAACAGGAGUGAUGUGGCGAGUGGCCAUUGGACUGGUCCACUGGACCAGGGCCAUUUUAAUAAUUUCUGAGGGUCCAGAGGAAGGUUAAGAGGCUGACCCUUGGUCAAGGGGAGAGGAAGAAAUGAAAUGACAUCCAAAUGAAAUGCAGAUACAUUACUUUAAGAUUUUUUAUAAUUCUUUUGGUCGAGGGGACAGCGUAGGGCGAAGGGGGAAAUAUUUUAUUCGUAUUCAUUUUGGAUAUAAAAGCUUUUAUAUUAAUAAUCAGCCUAUCUCUCCCUCUGAUUUAUUUUUUCCCAUUAAUUAGCCGGGCCAAGCUUACUGCCCUUUCAGGUUUAGAAUAUCCUACUACUGUUUUCAUCCAAAUCUUAUCAAAAAAAAAAAACAACAUAUCCUACUACUGUUUUCAUCCAUAUCUUUUCAAAACACACACACACACACAAUUCACAGUAUCAGUGGCUUGCAUAAAGACACCAACUAUAAUGAAAUGGUGUAGUAGAAAGCCAUUUACAGCAAUCCUAUUAAAUAGCCAAAUGUUUAAAUAAAACCUUGAUUUUAAUAUUGUUCUAUGUGUUUCAUUCUUUUUUUUUUCUAUCUAUAAGUAUGCUUGGAUAUGCAUUAUUGCUACUGAAUGAAAAAUUCCAGAUAAAAUUUGUUUAAAACUAGUAGUGACCAAGAAUAGUCAUUUUCAUCUUACUAGUAAAUACUUUUAGGUAGGAAUUCAUAGCAAUUAAUUGGAGAUAUUUUCCAUUAAUGGUCUUCCUCAAGUGCAUAUGAAGUGUGGCAAUAACAAAGAAAAAAAUAAUUAUCCUCUUGAUAUUUCAUAUGGAGUUAUAAUUAAAGAUCAGAUAUUAUUCAUGAACUUUUUUAGUGAAUUAAAUAUUCAAUAAAGUAGAUCAAAUGAGUUCUAUUAUUUAAAUUUUAUUUAUACUCUAUAUAUAGUUCAUUUUUUUUUAUUUAUAAUGAAGGCUACAUUCUUCUAUUAUUCCAAUAGUGCAACAGCUGCAAUAAUUUUGAACUAUUAGGUACAGAAAUAGGAGUAGUGCCAUUGUUGGUCAGUAGUUUUUAACUAAAAAGGCCAUUGUUAGAUAGAUUGUAAAAGAUGCCUUCUCUGUCUCUCUUCUUUUGCUCGCAGAGGUGUAAAGAAGCUUUUAUACGAUAAUGAUGGCAACAUAAAUAGCUUUUUUAUUACCAUUUUAGUUUCUUGUAUUAAUCCUAGUCCUAUUUCCUUAAGUAUAUAUACCACGCCAAACACUUGCUGAGAUGAUCAUAGUAUCCAUCCCACAAAAGAAUGAUUCACCUUCCUUCGCACCCAUACACCAUCGGAUCAUCCACAGAGUGCUUUGAGGUCUAUGCAGUAGAUGAUCUAACAACAGAUGGGCGUAAAGAAAGUUGAAUUCUUCUUUUGCGCGAGGGAUACAGCUGUGAUUCGAUCAAAGGUUGCACCUGCAUGUUUAGGGAACGUUAUUAGUUGAUGAGUUCCUUAAAAGCCUGUGAAUUGAGUCCUAUCUAUUAAAGAGUUAAACUUUUGGUUACUUCAUCAUUCUAUGGUCAAUGGAGUAUAUAAUUAUAUAGACAGGGGACAGAUUAACUAUGUACGUACCAUGUAACCUAUGCUCCUUUACAUCUGGAGUUGCGACUGGCAUUAGAUCGAAGGGUGUGAUUGAUUGCAUGUACAAAAUGCUUUCAAGAAAAUCACAAUUAAUCGUGUGUUACCAUUUUUCUUAAUUUCUUGGUACAUAUCUUAGGUUACUCGAACAUUCACUAAUAGAACAUUUUGAAACGAAAGCCAAUUUAUCAUCGUUGGCUUCUUCAACAUGAGUUAUUACCAGAAGAAAACUUCUCGGACAUGAGCUGGGAGUUUUGGCUUUUUUUUUUCCUGCAUCUUAUUUCAUGCGUACCCUCUCCAGUUUGUUAAUUGCUCCACAACAUUAUUAUUAGCUAUUUUCUUUCAAAGUCUCUUCGGCGAAUAACCGAUGUGGGGCUAAACACACGUCCGUAUGGGUCCUCAUAUACUUUUUCCAUUUGAGCCCUGACGUCCUCGUCAGGCUAAGAGUUUAAAUUCAUUCAAAUCUAAUCACAUGUAUCACAAUAGGCCCAUGGUCAGCCUUUAUUAAUUCGUACUGUAGUGUUUUCUAGUCCACAUAGGCUAUGGGCCGAGUUCGCCCUGAUACAUUUGUAACAAUUUAGAACUUCAUCCAAAAUGACUAGUCGGAAUGUAUUAUUUGAAUUUCUUAGUCUAGUAUAAAUACUCAAAAUCUUUUCGACAAAUAAUUGAUGUGGAACUAAAUAUACGUCCGUAUGGAUCCUCACACAACAUCACAAAACAUCCAAAAAAAAAUAUCUUACGUGUCUAUGAGAUCAAGAUGUUUCUUGAUCCAAUCAUGCAUUGUAUGCAAUGCAAGUUAAGGCAUUGGAGCGUCAUGCUCAUUGUGUUUCUUUUUUUUUUACUUUUUUACCAGUAGGUACAUAUUUCGGCAUGCACGUUCAAGCUUUGGACCGAUUGAUUCCGUACGUUAGAAAGUUGUCAGUCACUCUUGGAGUCUCGCUAAAGUUGCUUCGUAGAUGUAAACGUUUCCAAGUCCAAUUAAUGGCACUGAACUGAUGAGGAUGAUGAUCAUGUUCCCUUUAGAAUCCCUAAAGAUGAGAUUAAAGCUGUGAAGUUAACUUUUUUGGUAUCAUACAUGCAUGCCAAAAGUGCUGUUCGUUUUUAUUUUUUAUUUUUUGGAUAUUGUCAGUGAUGAACCAAAGUAAGUCCGGGGUUCUCAAAAUCAUUUUAUUAUAAUAUAUUAUCUCGUUGUACAAUAAAAAGUAACUUCUUUUUUUACUUAUCAAAUAACAACAUUUGUUGUAUCAUGCAUUGGCUUAGCUUGAACCUAUCAACUCACUCUUUCUCUCUCUUCCCCACAAUUUUCAAGGGUUUUUUUCGCAAAGCAUCCCUUCCAUUAUGGAUGAAUUACAAACAAUAAACACCUCUUCUUAUACAUUUGUAGAUCAAGACCUUUCUCAUCCCAUAAAUUUUCUAACAGACUCUGACGUAACUUGUCAUUAAUCAUGAUGGAAUAUUUUUGCUGCAUUUUUUCAUUCUUCGCUCGCUUGAUCCUUUAGAGCUUCUAAUACUUGUCAGCACUAUUGUUGUUAAAUUUGAUUUUCUCACCGCCACUGUUACGGGAACUUGAUUUUGUCUUAAAUUCGAAGAAGAUGGCAGCACAAAGUAGUGUAUUCAGGGUGUAGAUACUUUAAACAACCAAGUGAGAGGAGAAUAUCAAAAAAUACAAUAAAUGUUUUGUGAUGGGAAAAAAUACAAUAAGUAUUUCAAAAUGACCGAUGAGAAAUUAUUUUAAGAUAUUAUUGCAGAAUUUCUGGAAUAAAAAGAUGUUUUGAUAAUGAAAAAAAUUCUCUCUCUUUUUCCCCCUUUUCAAAGUCUAGACUGCAGACUUAUCAUUUGGAAAACCUAUAACAUUGGUAAUCUUUGGUAGGCUGGUUAGACAACUGACACCACAAACUAUAAUCCACAGAAGCUCGGAUCCAUGCAUGCAGAUUCCCUGAGAAGAAUAUGAUAUCCCCCAUAAUAAAAACUAUGGUGGCAGAGUUCCUGCUUUCUAUGAGAAGAACCUUACAAACACAGUCCUCUGAAAUUGAAAGGAUACAAUUGCAGGGAAACUUUUAUUUGUAGUGGUCCUGACGCUGCAUCAUUUAGCUUCCAAGUUCCAAAAACAUUCAAAAAAGCUUCUCUCUUUUGCUUCUGUCCCCCUCAAGUUCAGGUGACGAACAUGGGGGCAUUUGCAGUCAUCUUAGCUAGUCUUCUCAGCCAAUCCCACCAACUUAGAAUGGUGCUCUAAUAGCCCGCACUUCCAAGUUCCAACUCAUAGCACAUAGCAGCAGCAUCGUGGGCCAUGCUGUGCAUUGAGUUUUCUCCGAAGAAGCUGGCCCUCCUGGCAUUAAAUAGGGUAGUUUCCUCUUUUUAUUUCAGUUUGCGACUCACAGCUCAUUGCUGUUGAUUGUAGAGAUACCUGGGAAGGAGAGAUCUCUUAUCAGCAAUAGCAGAAACUAGAUUGGGAGACCGUGCUAGUUUAAAUCAUGAUGGACCAUUGAUAAUCCAUGUUAAAUUUCUUUGAAAAAUUGAUAAUCCUGGGAAGGGCACGUGGAUUAUGUUGAAAAUAUAUUUUGUCUUGAAACUGCUGUAUCUUUAUUUUAUAGAAGUAUUAUAAAGAAGCUUGCCUGAAUUGAGGUGUGUGAUAUACAGUGCAGGUUUGCGGCGAUCUCGUCCCUAAGGUACAACAACCCGGCUCAACCCGAUUCAGAACUCUGUCACAAAUAAAGUACCAGUAAGAAAGAGAGAGACAGA
rnacentral:lncRNA from 1 species